AUCCUCUGCGGGCUGUGCCGUGCGAUGGCUCCUCAGCACGGCUCUCCUCCAAGCCGGCUGCCAGGCUCGGCCCCGCCGGCCGGCCCUCAGCGCUGCGGGCUGCACCUGUAACUUGGCGAGGAGCGAAGCCUCUGACACCGCUGGCCUCGCCGUGGAGAGUCUCAGUCAAGACAAACGAAACCACCAGUGUUUUCCUUCCACUUCCACUCCAGAACAGCACUGAGAGGGGAUUGCUUGGGUGCCUGCACUGACAGAGCCCUGAACUUUGCUAUCAGGUCACGUACCAGAUUUUCUCUUCAACGUUGAGCUGUCUUCCUUGGCCGUGUCUCCCUGCUUGGCUUUGAAGACCAUCUGUCUUGCAGAGAAACCAGAGGAACAGGAGGAAAAGCAGCGUGCCUAAGGAGUAGAUACAACCCAAGGCCUCGGGAAGGGCAGGAGCUGCAGCCGAGGGGCUGACACAGGCACCGUGACAGUGGGGCAGCUCCGUCCCCACCGUGGCAGCCACGGCUGCACCGUCCAUGGCUGCACACGGGGAGCGGCGGCAGGACGAGGCCAUGCAGCAGGGAACCC